rnacentral:tRNA from 1 species
GCCGGGGUAUUCUAGUCCGGCAGGAAGCAUGCCUGGAAAGCAUGUGCUCUUUGAGCUCGAGAGUUCAAAUCUCUCCCCCGGCG